rnacentral:rRNA from 1 species
UAACGCGAAGAACCUUACCAAGGCUUGACAUACACCGGAAACGGCCAGAGAUGGUCGCCCCCUUGUGGUCGGUGUACAGGUGGUGCAUGGUUGUCGUCAGCUCGUGUCGUGAGAUGUUGGGUUAAGUCCCGCAACGAGCGCAACCCUUAUGAUCAGUUGCCAGCAUUCAGUUGGGCACUCUGGUCAGACUGCCGGUGACAAACCGGAGGAAGGCGGGGAUGACGUCAAAUCAUCAUGCCCCUUAUGUCUUGGGCUUCACGCAUGCUACAAUGGCCGGUACAAAGGGCUGCGAUACCGUAAGGUGGAGCGAAUCCCAAAAAGCCGGUCUCAGUUCGGAUUGAGGUCUGCAACUCGACCUCAUGAAGUCGGAGUCGCUAGUAAUCGCAGAUCAGCA